rnacentral:lncRNA from 1 species
AUGUCAGUCCCACAUUUUGAGUUUGCUGCUGGUGAAGGAUCUCAACCAGUGGAAGUUGAUGAUCCGCCAUCAGUAAGGUUCACUUGGAAAAUAGAGAAUUUCUCAAAAUUCAACCGGAGCUCCUUCGUCUCCCUAUUGUUCUCACCCAGAACCCUACCUGCACCGCAUCUUUUUUAGCAAAUCAACAAUGACAUCCAGCACGGAUUUUACAUCAAGAUCUGAAAACUAGGACAAAAUGCCCUAGCCACCCCUUCAGCUAUGACGGCUAGGGUUCCGGUCAUUAGUCAUCCGUUUUUCGUUUCAGAAUCCAUGGUGUUUAGGUUUUACAUGAAGGUGAUGUUCUAUAUGUUUUCCCGUUUCCGAGAGUUAAUAUUCACACACCGCUCCUCUUGAUCUCUUUCUCUAUAUAUCUAUGUAUAUAUAGAGAGAGAUAGAGUGGAAAAGGGCGUGAAAAUAAGAUAUAUGUGUGGGAAUAGGGAGAGCCUUUCAUAGAAGAUUAUCCUUCAAAGCUUAUAACCAGUAUUGCAGCCAUGGAUGUUGGUUCUAAUGAAACUCUGGUGAAAGUUGAGUUUUAGCGUAUGACAUGGCGAACACGGAAGAAUCGGCGAGUGCGUGACUGACUCCUUUAUUUGCUUCCCUUCUCAAGUCCGGCAUUCGGGUUUUCUAUUCAGUUGCAGGUGACAUAUUUCAUGCAGCACAACAUUGAUCAUUCCCAGGAUUUUAUAAGAAAAGCUAUAAAAGAGUGGCUGAACUGGCUCAAGAACAAUAUUGGUUAUGAUGUUGGCGCCUUGACUUUGUGAGGUUGAACGUGUCGGGUUCGGGUCAGUAUGCGAGUAUUCAGGUUGGGUUCGGGUUCAUAUGUAUGGCAUUAUUCUCGGGUUCGGGUUCGUCUAAAAUUUUCGGGUUUGGGUUGGGUUGAACCCGCCAACCUGCGAACACGACCCUUUUAGCACCCCUAGGCCUUAAAUCUUCAUAAAUGGCCAAAUAUCAAUCGCGGACAGGUAUGAAGAGACUAACCGAACUCAUGUAUCUGUUGCAUAUUUUUAUAUUUCUUGAAGUUAGUUUUAUUACAUUUUGGCAGCUUUUAGCAAUCCUUCCAUUGGAUGUUAUGCAUACAUUAGGGUUUAAAUGCUUCACCCGAUCAGCAUCUUGGCUAUUAACAAUGAGGAUAUAGAUGAGUUAGUCUCUUAUUAUUUUUUUAAACUAGUUUUCUUUAAGGCUUAUUUAUGUUGGUUAGAUGAUCUAUGUUCAACUUUAUAUAAGUUGCAACAGUUAGAAGAAUUUUGUUCUUGAUCUGUCACCCAAAGUUAUGAUUCCUAGCAUGGAGCAAAGAAUCCGUUUUCUAAAUGAGCAGGUUGUCUUUAUUUCU